AUUGAACGCUGGCGGCAGGCCUAACACAUGCAAGUCGAGCGGCAGCGACUUAACUGAACCUUCGGGGAACGUUAAGGGCGGCGAGCGGCGGACGGGUGAGUAAUGCCUGGGAAUAUGCCCUGAUGUGGGGGAUAACUAUUGGAAACGAUAGCUAAUACCGCAUAAUCUCUUCGGAGCAAAGAGGGGGACCUUCGGGCCUCUCGCGUCAGGAUUAGCCCAGGUGGGAUUAGCUUGUUGGUGAGGUAAUGGCUCACCAAGGCAACGAUCCCUAGCUGGUCUGAGAGGAUGAUCAGCCACACUGGAACUGAGACACGGUCCAGACUCCUACGGGAGGCAGCAGUGGGGAAUAUUGCACAAUGGGGGAAACCCUGAUGCAGCCAUGCCGCGUGUGUGAAGAAGGCCUUCGGGUUGUAAAGCACUUUCAGUAGGGAGGAAGGUAGUGUAGUUAACACCUGCGCUAUUUGACGUUACCUACAGAAGAAGCACCGGCUAACUCCGUGCCAGCAGCCGCGGUAAUACGGAGGGUGCGAGCGUUAAUCGGAAUUACUGGGCGUAAAGCGCAUGCAGGCGGCCUGUUAAGUCAGAUGUGAAAGCCCGGGGCUUAACCUCGGAAUUGCAUUUGAAACUGGCAGGCUAGAGUCUUGUAGAGGGGGGUAGAAUUUCAGGUGUAGCGGUGAAAUGCGUAGAGAUCUGAAGGAAUACCAGUGGCGAAGGCGGCCCCCUGGACAAAGACUGACGCUCAGAUGCGAAAGCGUGGGGAGCAAACAGG
rnacentral:rRNA from 1 species